GCCUAGUUAGCAUAAAAGUAAUGCGACCGUUUUGUAAUCGGUAUAAGUAAGUGCGAUACUUGCACUGGGCU
rfam:Paracoccidioides brasiliensis strain Pb18 mitochondrion, complete genome.